ACUUAUCAAGAGUGGUUGAGGGACAGGCCCGAUGACACCACAGCAACCUGCUUUAUGUAAGGUGCUAAUACCUGCGUUGACCGAAUGAUGAG
rnacentral:ncRNA from 1 species